AUUGAACGCUGGCGGCAUGCCUUACACAUGCAAGUCGAACGGCAGCACGGGGGCAACCCUGGUGGCGAGUGGCGAACGGGUGAGUAAUACAUCGGAACGUGCCCAGUAGUGGGGGAUAGCCCGGCGAAAGCCGGAUUAAUACCGCAUACGACCUACGGGUGAAAGCGGGGGAUCGCAAGACCUCGCGCUAUUGGAGCGGCCGAUGUCAGAUUAGGUUGUUGGUGAGGUAAAGGCUCACCAAGCCGACGAUCUGUAGCUGGUCUGAGAGGACGACCGGCCACACUGGGACUGAGACACGGCCCAGACUCCUACGGGAGGCAGCAGUGGGGAAUUUUGGACAAUGGGGGCAACCCUGAUCCAGCCAUGCCGCGGGCGGGAAGAAGGCCUUCGGGUUGUAAACCGCUUUUGUCAGGGAAGAAAUCUUCUGAGCUAAUACCUCGGGAGGAUGACGGUACCUGAAGAAUAAGCACCGGCUAACUACGUGCCAGCAGCCGCCGUAA
rnacentral:rRNA from 1 species